UACCGUCAAAUAAAGGCCAGUUACUACCUCUAUCCUUCUUCACCAACAACAGAGCUUUACGAUCCGAAAACCUUCUUCACUCACGCGGCGUUGCUCCAUCAGACUUGCGUCCAUUGUGGAAGAUUCCCUACUGCUGCCUCCCGUAGGAGU
rnacentral:rRNA from 1 species